rnacentral:lncRNA from 1 species
UUCUAUCUACUAUCAUUAUCUAUCCUAGUUCUAUAACUUGCAAAUUCUAUUGUUGCAAUUCCAUGUAUUGCCAAAUAAUCUUUAAUCAAUGCUUUCAUUCCUCCUUUACCAAAGUUGGUUUGGAGAAGAUCACAAGUAUCUUUCAAUGCAACCUUCCCAUCUUUCUAAUAAACAAUACCUUGUUGUACCAUCUCAUCAAAUUCACGACAAUCUUUUCAAGAAUGACAAUCAUCAUCACACCAAAUACAUCUUUGUUCAUACCCUUGUUUA